UCAUAAAGAUUGUUGCUAGCUUUGUAUUUGAGCAAAUGUUGGACGAUUGCAGCACAUAAAAAACAAUUUCACCUAGUUCACAUAUAAAGUUUACUCAUUUUUAUUUUGGAAAAAAUCACUUCAUAGAUUGAUUUCAGUUAAAACACAUAAGCACAAGACUGUGAAGUUCGCUGUUAUUUAAAAUGCAAGUCCGCUUGUCCAACUUAAGGAUUUCUCCUUUUCUUUUAGUCACAAAUUUUUGUUUUGUCGGGAAGUUCGCUUCUAUUUAAAAUGCAAGUUCACAUGUCCAACUCAGGGACUUCAUCUUGUUUUGUCGCGAAGUUCAUCUUGUUCAUUUUAGGCAGUUCGCUCUUCCAGAACGGUUCACUUUUCUUUUUAAGAUCUGAAUAUUCGAAUCAUCUGAUGAAGACACUCACUUCUUUAUAGGCAAAAAAUAGCAAGAAUUUUAUUUUUUCCGUAUGUACAGUGGCAGUUCACUAUUCCUUGUCACAAAGUUCACUUUUAAAAAUCCCAGAAGUUUAAAUUGUUUUCUUUUUUGACAGUACAUGUAUUUAGAAUUUUGCACUACUAAAGUUUGCUUCAAUACCCGUGAACAUACUAUAUCGCUAUUGUUUCAACAUUAUUAGCAGGGGUAGUUCACUGUCCAUAUUUCGGUAACUUGCAUAGCCUGUGACAUUUACAGUUAAAAGCGCACAUGUUUAUUUAGUGGGUUAUACAUGUGUUUGUCAGGGGAAACAAACGACUAUUUCCGUGUGUUAAUUUAAAUGUGUGGUACGUGUUUGUUUCAUUGCCUUGUUUGUUCAGUACUAUCUACUUUAGAUAACUUUUUCGAAUGUUCGCUAUACACAUAUAAGCAUGAUUAAAAUCACUUUUUUUCUAUCCGCGCACUUCAGACUGCCAUGUUAAUUUCUCUAGUAUCCCGAAAUAUAAGAAUUGCUUCACUGCAAUUUUGUGUGAACCAUGCUUAAAACAGGAAGUUCACCCGAUAGCAGUUCAGUCACAUCUUUUUUGUAGUUCUGACAGAAAUAAGUGAAGUUCAUUUUGAGUGGUAUGCUUUUAUCAUCUUGAAGUAUGCUACACGACCGAUAGGACAUGAGUACAAUCUGGUAAGCGGCCUCCAAUAACUUCUUUCAGUUUUCCUAUACUUGCUGUGCAUGUGGCGGAGAUGCUGUAGCUUCUUACUGCUAUUAUUAACCAUGCUAAUCUCUGAAGUAAUGGUACUAAUUUCUUGGUGAUGCUUAGUUGAUUGCUCACUGAUGUUAAUUGUAAUCUAUUUUGCAGAGAAACUAAUAGGGUGUAUUUGUCUGGAAGUGCACAUUGGUGAAAAUAGGAAAUUCACUGUAUAUAAGUAAGCUUCCUAAUAUGGAGGUGUACAUCGAUCGGCAAUUUUCUGGAAAACUAGGAGAGAUACUGAUAAGGUAACAAUCCCAGCGUCAUGGGUCUCUCGUCAAGCAGAGCUAAGGCGAAAAGUUACUCGACGGGGACACGACCUUAUCCAGGUGUAGACUUUGUGAUGGAUACGUGAGUGUACUCACUUGGCCACCAGGUGCAUGUAUGUUACUAUUGCCAGAUUGAUUCCCAGGUGAUACAAUGUAGAGUCGACAGAGGUCGGUUGAUCAGGUCAAUGCAGGGAGGGAGGCAUGAUCUGUCCAGGUCAACAAGACAAGAAAUCAUGUGCAUAUGCAGGGCGUAGGCACAUGCAUCAUUGUUUGAUCAUAUAUGCAAGUGGAUAUUGAAUGAGUAUUGUAUCUAGUAGACAUGGGGCAUGAAAUUGCGGUUCAGGAGAACUGGCGUGGGUUGUUUGGCAAGUUUUUUCCCUUUCAUUUAUAUUUUCCUUUUUUGCUCUGUAUAGACAACAAAAAUGGAAAUUUAUUUUUUUCUAA